rnacentral:rRNA from 2 species
GCGGUAAUUCCAGCUCCAAUAGCGUAUGCUAAAGCUGCUGCGGUUAAAAAGCUCGUAGUUGGAUCUCAGUUGCGGGCGGGUGGUGCAUCUACCCGAUGUGACAGCCCGAUCUGAACAUCUUGCCUUCUAUCCUCUGGUGUCCUUCACUGGAUGCCUUUGGGUGGUCGGUGCAUUUACUUUGAAAAAAUUGGAGUGCUCAACGCAGGCGAAGUGCCUGAACACUUAUGCAUGGAAUAAUAGAACAAGACCCCGUUUCUGUUCUGUUGGUUUUUGGAAAACGAGGUAAUGAUCAAGAGGGACUGACGGGGGCAUUCGUAUUGCGGCGCUAGAGGUGAAAUUCUUGGACCGUCGCAAGACGAACUACAGCGAAAGCAUUUGCCAAGAAUGUUUUCAUUGAUCAAGAACGAAAGUUAGAGGUUCGAAGGCGAUCAGAUACCGCCCUAGUUCUAACCAUAAACGAUGCCAACCAGCAAUCCGCCUGAGUUACUCCAAUGACUCUGCGGGCAGCUUCCGGGAAACCAAAGUAUU